rnacentral:lncRNA from 1 species
CCUAAUAUGCAGAAUAGGGCGGGAGUGCGAGACUUGAGGUGCCGCCCAAAUUUUCUUCUAAAAUUUUAAUAUUUUUAUAAAUAUAAAGAGACAGAAACCUAGAAAAAGAAAUAAAGAAAUAGAAACACUUAAAAACAUUCCCCAAGUCAUCAUUUAGGAACUAGGGUUUACUUCCCGUCUCUCAACAUUUCUCUUAAAAUUCCCAAACCCUCAUCACUUUGACAACCAGUUCUGGUAUUUCAUCUAAAUCUGUUCUUGAUUUUAUUGUUCAAAGUGACGAUUUCCAUCAUCAAUCUGUUCAAGACUAUUUUACAGAUUAUUCAAUUUUGCUAAGUUAUUUUGGGUAUUCUUUUCCAUCACCAAAUGAAGUCGGAUAUGUGCGAUUGAGUUGGCAUACUGUGAUUCAACAAGUUAUUUUUAUGGCGAGGUCGUAUCUCUAAGCCGUUUUGUAAAGAAGAGCUCACAUGUUAUUCAUUUCAGCUUCCGCAGUGAAAUGGGAAGGAGUUGUUUCAUUGUGGUCCGAGGUGCUUCCAAGAGUAUUAACUUGAAAUUCGUAAGUUUUACUUCCCAUAAUUCUAUUCUCUGUAUCUGCUUCAGCUAUGCUUGUAUAUGUGUGUGUUGACAAUUUUAUUUCUUGAAUGCAAGAUUUGAUUAUCUUUACAACUUUCUUAAGAGAUGAAGUGUUCCAAUCAUCGGUUAGAGUUCCUUUCUUCCGCUCACUAUUUUAGACUUGCUGGAUUUUGUUGUUAAUGCUUGUGGGUUUUGAUUCAUUUCAUUUAUGGGCGCAAUGACUGAUUUUUGGUAUGUAUUUUCAUUGUUGCUCUUCAUUUUGUUGAUGGAUACAUGUUAUCCACGUUUUUCCUAAAAUUUGGUGUUUAUUUUAUAGUGCGCUUCUUAAUAUUAUUAUACCCAUGUCAAAUAUUGCUACUAAACACUCCUUUACGUACUAAAAGGAAGCUUUAAUUAACAUGAUUAUUGUACUUUGUUACGAAUUGAUAUUAGGUGAGGUGCUAAACUAAGCUUGCUAGUCUAUGGUGAUUAUCAGGUUCAUGUAGCUUCUUUUAAAUAUGAGUGAUAAUUAUGUUUGCUAAAAGAAAUUAAACUUGUGAACUUAUUAGACAAUGGCUAUUUCAAGUGGUGGAAAAACUGUUUGCUGCUAGUGCUCUAGUAGAUGGAUUGAAGUUAUAGAAAAAGUAAAGAUUCAUCCGCGCAAAGCCUUUGUGAAAAUGAUAGAUUGAAAUUGGUAAUUUUAAAAAUGUUGUUGUAUGGUUUCAAGACAUAUUUUAAAGAAAAUAUUGAAAUUUUAGGAAAAUGUGGUAUUAAAGUUGAACACCUUGAAAGAGAUGUGUUUCUGGUUUCUCCACAAGGAGGUUACUUGAAUAAGUGAAUCAGUGUUGUACUUGUAGUUCUAUAAGAUUUUAUGAAGAUAUUUGAUCUUGGUGCAAUGGUUGUUAAGGUUAUCUAUUGAUAAAGGUGGCGGUUCAUUUGUGAGGGAUGUUUCACUCUUGAAAUGAUAGACUUUCUUCUUACAAUCUGGAUCAAUUUUUAAUUUUUCCUUGUUCUCUUUAUCCACUUUUAUUGAUUUCAUUGCUGGCUCUCAGUUUGUUUUUGCUACUCAUGUAGGUACAAUUUACUUUUGGACUGAAACUCAACCUUACACUCUAUAUCAUGUCAUAACCAUUUAGUUGAAACUUUAGUCUUCUAUUCUCUGCAUCUCCGUGUCAUACGUCACUCUGAAGUUCGCAUGUAUCUUCAUGAUAUAAUCUUAUAACAAUUUGGGAUACAUUUCUUAGGUUCUCAAAUAUGGUUUUAUUUUUGUUGUAACACUGCAACGUUUCAUGUAGUACAUCUCAAACACUCAUCUGGUUAUGUACUCUUUUUACUUUUAUGAACAAUUUAUACCCUUUGAUAUGGGAGUAUCAACCAAUAGAGUAUUAUCGACAAGGUGUGCAUACCCAAAGCCAUUUUCUCUUUAUCUCUCACUUUUGUGUUUAGCAGCAAAAUCAAAGCUCACUGUGUGAAAGCCGUAUGCGGAAAAAGGUACAAGAAAUUUUGCGUUUUAAAAUUCAAUUAUAUGGAAGAUAAAUUCCUUUUCUUGAUUCUCUUCCCUUCUCUUUCCAGGAGUAAGUUGAGUAGCUGAAAACAAUGCCAUUUGAAGUUAGCACAACUUGAGCUGAAACUUGAGAGAGUUAGAUAGCAGGUCCAGAAAUUUCUUUCACAAAUUCUUGUAAAUAUUAUGUUUCUUUUACUUGUAAAAAAAAUAUCUAUGUGUGCGCGCAUUGAUCAUUAAGGAAGUGCUAAUUAUUUUCUCACAAGUUAAUGGCUAAUUUCAAGGACAACAAGUUUUAGGUUCAAGUAUAGGAUAAUUGUCAAUAGUUUAUUUUUUAUUUUUGCAUCAGCAGAUUUACCCUGAUCUGUGUUGAGUGAUCUGGAAAUUUGCUACAUUGAACUGAUAGGAACAUGAAUCCCUCAUAGUUUCUUGUUUAUAGCAGAACCCAAAAUAUGAUUAUGAUAAUGGGAAAAGUUAUAAGGCACUGAUUUUGAUUUUUUUUCUUAAAUAUUUCUGUGCCAGAUAUUCUCUAAAGGAAGAUGUACUUUAAAAGUACAAUUUGUUUGUUAGUAGUUUAUAUAACAUAAUGUUAUUCGAUCUUAUAAUUUGCAUCCUAUCUUUAAAUGUAUUAAAUAAUGAGGGCUGAUUCUCAUUAACGCUAUAUUAUGGACUUUGGAUGAUUCUGAUUAAUGCUAAUGUUGAACUUAAUCUUUGUUUCUUAGGUCGCGUGACACUUACAACUUGGGGUGUAAUAUGGUAAAUAAUUAUCUGAUUGUCUCCCUCUAAGCCUAUGGAACCAAUUUUUAUAUAAUAAGAUGUAGUGCUCCUAGUCAUUGAUGAAACAAAUGCACUUUUUGAGUCUCUUACAGUGUUUUAGUUGCAGACAUGGCUAUUUUGUGUUUUAUUUCAUAAUGCAAGUUUCUUAUAUGACCAAAAUAUUGUUAUAUUGUAAUUAGUUUGUGAAAUAAUGUAGGUCUCACAAUUAGUUACCCAAUCUUUCUGGUUGAUUAUUAUAGUUUUUCUGAAGUGAAUUCAUUUCAUACUUCUCAUAGGGGUCUUGAAAACUUCAGUUUACAAGUGAAGAUGUAGAUUUUGGAGAAUUCAAGUUGACAAGCUAAUUAUCAGUUGCCGAGAACUAUAGACAACAAUUCAUUUUAUUUGCAAAUGAUGUUAAUUUGUUUUCUUCCCAAGGGGUGCGUAAAUGAUACAGUACAAAUGGAAUGAAUCCUUUCUUUUGUUAUUUUACAAAUAUAUAUAUGAGCACAUUGUUGAUAAGUUUGACUACAUGCAUUCAUUAUAUACAUUAUGAAUGGAAUAUUAUUUCGGAAAAGCACGAC